rnacentral:rRNA from 1 species
UACGUAGGGGGCAAGCGUUGUCCGGAUUCAUUGGGCGUAAAGAGCGUGUAGGCGGCCAGGUAGGUCGGUUGUGAAAACUGGAGGCUCAACCUUCAGAGGUCGACCGAAACCAUCUGGCUAGAGUCCGGGAGAGGAGAGUGGAAUUCCCAGUGUAGCGGUGAAAUGCGUAGAUAUUGGGAGGAACACCAGUGGCGAAGGCGGCUCACUGGACUGGUACUGACGCUGAUGCGCGAAAGCGUGGGGAGCGAACAGG